UACGUAGGGGGCAAGCGUUGUCCGGAUUUAUUGGGCGUAAAGCGCACGUAGGCGGUUUGUCGCGUCGGGAGUGAAAACCAGGUGCUUAACACCUGGCUUGCUUUCGAUACGGGCAGACUAGAGGUAUGCAGGGGAGAACGGAAUUCCUGGUGUAGCGGUGAAAUGCGCAGAUAUCAGGAGGAACACCGGUGGCGAAGGCGGUUCUCUGGGCAUGACCUGACGCUGAGGAGCGAAAGUGUGGGGAGCGAACAGG
rnacentral:rRNA from 1 species